rnacentral:rRNA from 1 species
UACGAAGGGGGCUAGCGUUGUUCGGAUUUACUGGGCGUAAAGCGCACGUAGGCGGUUUGUUAAGUGAGAGGUGAAAUCCCAGAGCUCAACUCUGGAACUGCCUUCAUACUGGCAAGCUAGAGUCCGGAAGAGGUAAGUGGAACUCCUAGUGUAGAGGUGGAAUUCGUAGAUAUUAGGAAGAACACCAGUGGCGAAGGCGGCU